GGAGAGUCAGGACAGGGUACGGACGAAGCACGGUCGGACGACACAGUCCUUCUCCGCGGAUUGCGGAGAUCGUCGCGUAUCCUCUCGAUAUGCCGCUGCUAACCUAACGUCGAGGGUACAAUCGUAAGCCGCGUCCUCGGCGUUUACGCCGAUAGAGAGAGAGAGCACGGCGCAGGAACGGACUCGCUGCCUUCCACGAAGUCACUCUCUCGUGUAUUCGCGUGGCGGGAGUAUUCGGUGUUCUCUCGCGUCGUCGCGAUAUUACGUGUACGUACCUCGCUUUUGAUCGUUGUCCUUCAACGUUAGCCGGCAAGGUUAGCGCGAGCUGUCGUGCACUGACAGAUUUAUCCGUGUCGUCCUCCUUUCUGACAUCGCGGUCUGCUGGCAUCGCCGACAUGUAAACACAAGCGCGAAUUAAUUACUUCCACUCCGAUCGAAGCACCGAUAUAUAGUUUGCAUGGAGGAGGAGACGCGAUGCACUACUUUCGAAUCCCAACUGUUAUUGUGCUGCAAACUUUAGACUGCUCGCGGUUGGCACACAUGUGUCACGUGACGUGACGUAUGACGGGUAGGUGUAGUUGAAUUUCGGCGCACUUCAAGCGAGACGCAUACCUCGACUUCCGCAUGUAGAACAUCGCGAGUGCGUGGGUGCCUGUCUAAUAUCUCGAUUCACGAUCGGAGCCUCGUCUCGAAAGACAUUCGCGUACUUUGACGAACGUCUCGACUCGCGUAUUGUUCCGUCGAAUAUUCGGAGCAAUGAAAGGAAUUUCAUUCAUUGUCACGACGGAGUAGAAGUGUGCGUAGCGAAGAAAUCAAUGCGGGACAACGAAUUGAGGAUUAUUAUUAUUAUUAUUAUUAUUAUUCACGAUCUCGCGGUCAUAAAGAAGGAAAAGAGAGAGAAUAAAUGUACUUUUUCACCUUUAUUUUGAUUCAUCCGCACGGUUCAUCCGCGCGCCGCGUCGAUGUGUGAAGUGAGUAGCGAGAGCGAGGAAAAAAGGCGACUCGCGCGGCAGCCAAUCAGAGGAGUGGGGGCGCCGCGUGACGCGCGCAAAAAUUUUCGACUCGCGCUCCCCUCUAUCGCGCGACCUUCGCCAUACCGCGACGAGCCGUGGACCGGGAGUGUCGUGUCUCAGCCGAAGGAAUAAAUCCGCGCGCGGAUCAUCCCGGAUAGUUGUGUAUACUCGACAAACUGCGUGUGCGGAUGCGAGUGCUGGCGAUACCCUUGUGCUCAUCCUUCUUGAAAAAUCGGACGCUAAGGAUUCUUCGCCUUCGCGGACACCUGUGGGCAAUUUGCGGGAGUUGUCAUGGCAACCGGUAGUAUUGCGAUACACAGUGCGAUUCACGCGUCGUGUCGAGAAAUCGACGUGUCGUUUAAAGCGUCGCGCGUCGGAAGUGCCGUGUAAAGUUCCGCGUGUCGGGAGUGCCGUGUAAAGUGUCGGUCGAUCGUAUAAUUAUUCGCGUUUCGCGAGUGCCGGGAGUGCUACAAAGGACCAAGAGAGGAGGAGGAGGCCAGGGGAGGCAUCGGGCGACAGCGGGCAACUGGGAGGUCAUAUGUGCUGCGUACUACAACUCCUAUUGGACGUAUCUGUGGUCACCUCGACGUUCCAUGGAGUCGACGAAGGACGAAGCCAAGAACCGAUCGUGCAUCAUCGUCGUUGCUGAUGAUGCUGCAUCCCUAGAUGAAUCUACGUGAUUUACGAACGCGGAGUCUACGAAAUACGCGAGUAGUCGAUUGAAUCAUGUACAGGAUACUACGUCGCGGCUCCGGUCGCGUGUUCGUUUUCGGCGUCGUGGUGCUGUCACUUCUGCUGUGCCUGUACUACGUCAGCCAGGUCCAGGCGCCGGGUCCGUCGUCCUCGUCGUCCUCGUCGUCGUCGUCGGGUCAUCCCGCCGCCAUCCUGAACGAGGAGCUCAGAUACGACCGCAGCAGUCUGACCUCAGUCACCCCGGAUUACAGCGAGCUGCCGGAUGCUCGAGUGUCGCUCGCCACCUGUCCUGUAAUCGCCCCGAGAAACGCCGACAUCGACGCCCAGCAGGAGUUCAGCAAGUUCGACUUUCAGCCCUCGUGGAUGCGAAGCCGGGAAUAUUGGGACGACAGCUUCGAGGCGCGUUUCGCGGAGCUAAGGAAGGAUCCGACGAGGCCGCCCUUGAAGGUUAUCCUUGUGCCUCACAGCCACACCGAUCCGGGAUGGCUGAAGACAUUCGAGCAGUACUUCCACAGCUCCACACGGAGCAUCCUAAACAACAUGGUCUCGAAGCUGCAGCAGUGGCCGAAUAUGACCUUUAUUUGGAGCGAAGUCUCGUUCUUGUCACUAUGGUGGGACAGUGCCCAUCCAACGAAGAAGAUGGUCGUGAAGAGGUUGGUCAAGGACGGUCGACUGGAGAUGACCACCGGUGGCUGGGUCAUGACCGACGAAGCGACAUCCCACAUUUAUGCCAUGCUGGACCAACUCAUUGAAGGACAUCAGUGGCUGAAGACGAAUCUCGACGUGGUUCCCGAAUCCGGUUGGUCCGUCGAUCCUUUCGGCCACGGUGGUACCAUACCGUACUUCCUGAAGGCGUCGGGCGCGACCGGGACGGUGAUCCAGAGGAUACACUACGCGUGGAAGCAGUGGUUCGCCAAGAAGCAGUACGGCGACUUUAUCUGGCGACAGCCGUGGGAUCGCAUCGGCUCGGCUGAUAUGCUGACCCACAACCAGCCGUUCGACAUCUACAACAUCAAGCACUCGUGCGGUCCGCAUCCGCACGUCUGCCUCAACUUCGACUUCCGCAAGAUACGCGGCGAAUACACCGAGUACUCGGUACGCGCCGUCGAAAUCACGCCCAACAAUGUCAAGCAGAUGGCCGAGCUCCUCUUGGAACAAUACGCGAGGACCGGCUCGCUUUUUACUCACAACGUCGUCCUGAUGCCGCUCGGUGAUGACUUCAGAUAUGACCACGCGAUCGAGUGGGAUCAACAGUACACGAACUAUAAGAUCCUGAUGGAUUAUAUAAAUAGUCGCAAGGACGAGUACAAUGCCGAGGUGGUGUUUGGCACGCCCAAAGAUUAUUUCAAUGAGAUACAGAAGCGUAUAGACAAAUUUCCGUCGUUGACGGGCGACUUCUUCGUCUACUCUGACAUCUUCAGCGAGGGUAGACCGGCCUAUUGGAGCGGCUACUUCACCACCAGGCCGUACAUGAAGAUCCUGGAUCGCGAACUCGAGGCGAAUCUCAGAUCAGCCGAGAUUCUCUAUACUAUCACGCUUAAUCUCGCCAAGCAAUCCGGCAAGGAUAUAAAACUCUACGAGACGUACUUUGAGAAGUUGGUGAAGGCCAGACGUAAUCUGGGCCUGUUUCAGCAUCACGACGCGAUCACUGGCACCUCCAAGUCUUUCGUAAUGAAGGAUUAUGCGUUAAAGCUCUUUGAGUCGAUCUCAGAUACCACGAGUUUGCAAAGUUUCGCCAUUCAAUCGCUGGCGGGUGUCACUAGUGGCAAAUCAAAUUCGGUUUACGUACUAGCUGAAUCAGACAGGGACAGUUACGAGAAGCUACCGAAGAAGAUACCGAUUGGCUUGAACAAUCACGAGACUAAAAAGAUCGUCCUCUUCAAUCCGCUGGCGCAACCCAGGCAGGAAGUGAUCAGUCUCAAGGUCACUUCGUAUAAGAUAAAGGUGCUGGACCCACAGAGGAACCCCAUACCUUAUCAGAUUGCGCCGGUGAUGAAUGCUACGAAUAUCAUGCAUGACGUGUAUGUACUGCUCUUCGUAGCCGAGCUAAAACCUCUAUCGAUCGCGACGUACCACCUGCAACAGGUCGAUAAGGUACCGGUGGAAGCUAUCUCAACGGUGUAUUGCAGCCGUUGCGGCAAGGACAAUGUCUUUCCUAUCAAACCGAUGCAAGUGGGCGAUGUGCAGCUGGAGAAUCAGCGAAUGAAGUUGUUGUUCGACGGACAGACAGGCUUUUUGAAGAGAGUCACCAAGAAAUCCACCGGUAAGAUCAUGCAAUGCGCCGUGCAAUUCGCCGCGUACCCGUCUGCGCAAUUCCACAGUGGCGCUUACCUCUUCAUGCCAGAUCCGAAUCUCCGGGAUACCGACAAAGAUGUUCUCGAGGCAUACACGCCGCACCAAAAGAUCUACAUCGUGAGUGGCAGCCUCAGUUCUCGUCUCACCGUCGAGUACGGCAAGUUGCUGACGCACCACGUAGCAAUCUAUCAUCGCGACGGUGGCCUUGGCGAGGCCAUCUACGUGCGCAACAUCGUAGACUUCGAGACGCCACCCAAGAAUCGCGAGACAGAGAUGUUCAUGCGGUUACAAACCGACAUCUCCAACGGCGAUCCACCAGAGUUCUACACCGACCUGAACGGCCACCAGAUGAUUAAGCGCACCAAGAUUGAGCGUAUUGGUAUUGAAGGCAAUUACUUUCCUAUCACAACUAUGGCCUACAUCGAGGAUUCGAGUCACCGAUUGACUCUAUUGGUGAAUCACUGCCAGGGCGCGGCCAGCUAUCAACCCGGUUGGUUGGAAGUGAUGCUGGACCGCAGAACUUUGUACGACGACUCGCGGGGUAUGGGCGAGGGUCUUCUGGACAAUCGACGGACUGUCAUUAAACACUGGCUUCUACUCGAAGACAUCAGUGGUGAAAAAGACAAAUAUUCGAGACCGUCACUAUUCGCUAAUCAUCUAAGCAACGCUCUCAACUACCCGGUCAACAUCUUCGUCGUAGACGGUACUGAACAGGAGAUCACCAUGGCGCCAGAGGUGCGACUACUGAGCCAGAGUUUUCCAUGCGAUUUUCAUCUGCUCAAUCUACGCACCAAUCAUGAUCAGAAGCUACCGCACUUCCCGGUAAAUAGUGCUCUCAUGGUGUUACAUCGACAGGGUUACAGUUGUUCCGUAGGCACCGAUGUUGCGUUAAAACACUGUCCACUUAUCGAGAGACUCGCGCAAGGGACCGCGUUCUACAAGCUCGACAAUAUCAAUGUUACCAAGACGUCGCUAACUGGCACGAGGCCGGGUACCCGUCUCAAAGACGGUCUCCAGGAAAUCGGUCUACAACCGAUGCAACUCGAAACGUACAACGUGAACUUUAUGCAAUGAUGCUAAGUUUGGCGAUUGGCUGUCGAUCUUGCGUGUUGAUUGGUUCAUGGAAUUCCAAUAGUACGCAAAAUCUGCCCUUUUCCAACAACACUGCCGUAUUAAUCAUACUAAUACUACCUCUUUAACUCUUCGUGUAAUGUGGGACGUUGUUGGUGAUAAAAGACGAAAAUUCAUGGAAUACGAAAAUGCAGACUUUUUACAUUGUUCCAGUCGAGGACAAAUUUAGCCAACUUCCGCUAGAUGAUCUUUCGUAUAUCGAUCGCAUUAUAUUUACGUCAGAAACUUUCAGGAAUGACAGACAAAAAAUGUGUGUGUAAAUAGAAAAUUUGACCGGUGCAACACAAUUAAUUGCUAAUUAUGGCAAACGUGCACAUGCUCGUGCAAUGUACAUAUUGUUCCUGUAUGAUGCGUUCCUUGCGUUUUAUUAUCGAAUGGCAGGAACGAGAGAUAUCGAGAGAAAGAGGGAAGGAGAUAGGUGAGAAAUAAAAAGAUGUACCCAUAAAUAUAUAAAUAUGUUAGUAAUUUACUACCGCGAAGUAGGAGAGAUCUAAUUAAUGUAUAUUCACUGGAACACAAAAUCUUUCGAACAAGAUUUGCUCUACUUUGCUUAUUGAAUUUUAAGUAAUUCUUUCAUAAACGAACACGCUUUACAUUAGCACAGUUUUAUUUAAUUAUACUUAUUGAAAAAUUUUUUUGCAUAUAGCUAUU